UACGAAGGGGGCUAGCGCUGUUCGGAAUUACUGGGCGUAAAGCGCGCGCAGGCGGUCCUUUAAGUCGGGGGUGAAAGCCCAGAGCUCAACUCUGGAACUGCCUUCGAAACUAGAGGACUUGGGUACGGGAGAGGUGAGUGGAAUUCCGAGUGUAGAGGUGAAAUUCGUAGAUAUUCGGAAGAACACCAGUGGCGAAGGCGGCUCACUGGCCCGUUACCGACGCUCAGGCGCGACAGCGUGGGGAGCAAACAGG
rnacentral:rRNA from 1 species